GACGAACGCUGGCGGCGUGCCUAAUACAUGCAAGUAGAACGCUGAAGGAGGAGCUUGCUUCUCUGGAUGAGUUGCGAACGGGUGAGUAACGCGUAGGUAACCUGCCUGGUAGCGGGGGAUAACUAUUGGAAACGAUAGCUAAUACCGCAUAAUAGUAGAUGUUGCAUGACAUUUGCUUAAAAGGUGCAAUUGCAUCACUACCAGAUGGACCUGCGUUGUAUUAGCUAGUUGGUGGGGUAACGGCUCACCAAGGCGACGAUACAUAGCCGACCUGAGAGGGUGAUCGGCCACACUGGGACUGAGACACGGCCCAGACUCCUACGGGAGGCAGCAGUAGGGAAUCUUCGGCAAUGGACGGAAGUCUGACCGAGCAACGCCGCGUGAGUGAAGAAGGUUUUCGGAUCGUAAAGCUCUGUUGUAAGAGAAGAACGAGUGUGAGAGUGGAAAGUUCACACUGUGACGGUAUCUUACCUGAAAGGGACGGCUAACUACGUG
rnacentral:rRNA from 1 species